AUCGAGAGCAGGAUGCUUAAUGGACUGAGCCACCCAGUCCUGAACAGAGGCUCCCUGUGUGCAGCUUGGAUGCUGUUCUCUGGUUAAAUAAGCUGUUCUGAUAUCACUGAGAGCACUCGGCACUGUAUCUACCGGAGCCAACUCUGAUGAUUAAAGGAACAGAGGGGAAAACAGGUCCAUUUUUGGAUAAACCUGGAACGUCAAUCAAUACUGAAAGUAAACAUGAUGACACAGA